rnacentral:pre_miRNA from 1 species
CAAGUACUCCCUCCGUCCGGAAUUACUUGUCAUCAAAAUGGAUGUGUCUAGAACUAAAAUACAUCUAGAUACAUCCAUUUCAGUGACAAGUAUUUUCGGACAGAGGGAGUACAAG